AGGGUUUGAUUAUGGCUCAGAUUGAACGCUGGCGGUAUGCUUAACACAUGCAAGUCGAACGGAAACGAUACUAGCUUGCUAGUAGGCGUCGAGUGGCGGACGGGUGAGUAACGCGUAGGAAUCUGCCUGAUAGUGGGGGAUAGCCCGGAGAAAUUCGGAUUAAUACCGCAUAAUCUAUUCGUAGUAAAGUGGGGGACUUUCGAGCCUCACGCUAUCAGAUGAGCCUGCGUAAGAUUAGCUUGUUGGUAGGGUAAAAGCCUACCAAGGCGACGAUCUUUAGCUGGUCUGAGAGGAUGAUCAGCCACAUCGGGACUGAGACACGGCCCGAACUCCUACGGGAGGCAGCAGUGGGGAAUAUUGGACAAUGGGGGCAACCCUGAUCCAGCAAUACCGCGUGUGUGAAGAAGGCCUGAGGGUUGUAAAGCACUUUCAAUUGUGAAGAAAAGUUAACGGUCAAUAACCGUUAGCCUUGACGUUAACUUUAGAAGAAGCACCGGCUAACUCCGUGCCAGCCGCCGCGGUAAUACA
rnacentral:rRNA from 1 species